GACGAACGCUGGCGGCGUGCCUAACACAUGCAAGUCGAACGAGUGGCGAACGGGUGAGUAAUACGUGGGAACCUGCCCUCCUCUUGGGGAUAAGCCUUGGAAACGCGGUCAAAUACCGGAUGAGGAGGAUGGGCUCGUGGGCGAUGAGCUUGUUGGUGGGGUGAUGGCUGAUCAAGGAGGUGACGGGUAGCCGACCUGAGAGGGUGAUCAUCCACACUGGGACUGAGACACGGCCCAGACUCCUACGGGAGGCAGCAGUGGGGAAUAUUGCACAAUGGGCGCAAGCCUGAUGCAGCCAUGCCGCGUGUAUGAAGAAGGCCGUAGGGUUGUAAAGUACUUUCAGCGGGGAGGCGUUACCCGCAGAAGAAGCACCGGCUAACUCCGUGCCAGCAGCCGCGGUAAUUC
rnacentral:rRNA from 1 species